AUUGAACGCUGGCGGCAGGCCUAACACAUGCACGUCGACCGAGUGGCGGACGGGUGAGGAAUGUCUGGGAAACUGCCUGAUGGAGGGGGAUAACUACUGGAAACGGUAGCUAAUACCGCAUACCAUCGGAUGUGCCCAGAUGGGACUAGCUAGUAGGUGGGGUAAAGGCUCACCUAGGCGACGCUCCCUCGCUGGUCUGAGAGGAUGACCAGCCAAACGGGAACUGAGCAACGGUCCAGACUCCUACGGGAGGCAGCAGUGGGGAAUAUUGCACAAUGGGGGCAAGCCUGAUGCAGCCAUGCCGCGUGUAUGAAGAAGGCCUUCGGGGUGUAAAGUACUUUCAGCGGGGAGGCGUUACCCGCAGAAGAAGCACCGGCUAACUCCGUGCCAGCAGCCGCGGUAAUUC
rnacentral:rRNA from 1 species